rnacentral:SRP_RNA from 1 species
CCGUGCUAGGCGGGGAGUUAGCGGUUCCCUCUCGCCGGAAAUCCGCUUCAUGCCGGGCCGAAUCCCCGUCCGAGGGGUGGCGGCUGCUGGGACCGUGCUGAGGUGCUGCGGUGCUGAGGGCUGGGUCCCGCGCGACGGAUCAAUCUGAACCGGGUCAGGGCCGGGAGGCAGCAGCCCUAAGGAUUUUGAGCCGUGCGCCGCGGGGGUGCCUGGCCGGAGCUGGCGGCCUCAUCGCCCCCGGUGGUCCCAUCUCGGAGAUGGGUGCACGG